AGAGUUUGAUCAUGGCUCAGAUUGAACGCUGGCGGCAGGCCUAACACAUGCAAGCCGAGCGGAUGAAGAGAGCUUGCUCUCGGAUUCAGCGGCGGACGGGUGAGUAAUGCCUAGGAAUCUGCCUGGUAGUGGGGGACAACGUUUCGAAAGGAACGCUAAUACCGCAUACGUCCUACGGGAGAAAGCAGGGGACCUUCGGGCCUUGCGCUAUCAGAUGAGCCUAGGUCGGAUUAGCUAGUUGGUGGGGUAAUGGCUCACCAAGGCGACGAUCCGUAACUGGUCUGAGAGGAUGAUCAGUCACACUGGAACUGAGACACGGUCCAGACUCCUACGGGAGGCAGCAGUGGGGAAUAUUGGACAAUGGGCGAAAGCCUGAUCCAGCCAUGCCGCGUGUGUGAAGAAGGUCUUCGGAUUGUAAAGCACUUUAAGUUGGGAGGAAGGGCAGUACAUUAAUACUGUGCUGUUUUGACGUUACCGACAGAAUAAGCACCGGCUAACUCUGUGCCAGCAGCCGCGGUAAUACAGAGGGUGCAAGCGUUAAUCGGAAUUACUGGGCGUAAAGCGCGCGUAGGUGGUUCGUUAAGUUGGAUGUGAAAUCCCCGGGCUCAACCUGGGAACUGCAUCCAAAACUGGCGAGCUAGAGUAGGGCAGAGGGUGGUGGAAUUUCCUGUAGCGGUGAAAUGCGUAGAUAUAGGAAGGAACACCAGUGGCGAAGGCGACCACCUGGGCUCAUACUGACACUGAGGUGCGAAAGCGUGGGGAGCAAACAGGAUUAGAUACCCUAGUAGUCC
rnacentral:rRNA from 1 species